UUUUUUUUUUUUUUUUUUUUAAGAUUUUAUUCAUCCAUUCGUGAGAUACACACACACAGAGAGAGAGAGAGAGAGAGAGAGGCAGAGACACAGGCAGAGGGAGAAGCAGGUUCCCUGCAGGGAGCCCGACGUGGUACUGGAUCCCAGAUCUCCAGGAUCAGGCCCUGGGCUGAAGGCGGCGCUAAACCGCUGAGCCACUGGGGGUGCCCACAGGCUUCCUUUAAACACAUUUGUUACUAAAGAAUGUACAUCUCACUGAAGUCCCUAAAAGAAGCUAUUUUUAGUAUACCUUAUUCUGCCUACCUUAAGCAAGUUGUCACCUAUAAGAAUUUGUAUUUCUUUCAAAAUAUGAUGCAGAGGGGCAACUGGGUGGCUCAGUCAGUUAAGCGCCUGCCUUCAGCUCAGGUCAUGAUCCCAGGGUUCUGGGAUCGAGUCCUGCAUUGGGCUGCUCAGUGGAGUCUGCUUCUCCCUCUCUCUCUGCCUCUCCCCCGGCUUAUGCUCUCACUCGCUCACUUUCUCAAAAAAUGAAAAAAAAAAAAAAAAAAAGCGUAGCUAUAACAUGAAUAUCCAAAAUGUUUCUGCAAAGAAUCUUAUAUUUAUUUAUGAACAAAGAAAACAGUUACAUUUUAUGAUGCUGAAGUAGUAAAGUGAUUUAAAAUGAAUAUAUGCUAAAAAUCAUCUCCUUUUCCCUCAACAUCAUCUUCUCAUUUAUUUUUCCUUUGUAAACAUAAUGUUUUCCCUUGUUCAGGUAAUUUUUACUUUCUACUUCCAUGUCUACUUGCUAUGUUAACUUUGAUAUGGUGCUGUGUUCCAGGGUCCUUUUUCAAAGUAUAUUCCAUGGAGCAACAAUCAUAGAACUAUCAGGGUGCCACCUAGGACACAGAUUCAUGGGUUCCACUGGAACCCAAGAACCUGCAUUUUCCCAGGCUCCUCACAUGCACCUCUUGCACACUAUAGUGUGAGUCUAAAGUAUUUCAGUCUUGGACAGAAAACUGUUAAUAAGAACUUACAUAAAAGCCAUCAUACAAUAUAGUUCUGUUUUUAGAACUGAGAUUAUGGCAUUUAUUUUACGUUUAGUCUUCAUAGAUGUUCAACAGGAAUUAGUUUAUCUUUGCUAAGGGUAGCUAGAGUUUAAAAUCUCCUCUUAAAGGUAACUGUUGAUUCCAUAUGAAAAACAACUAGUAAGAACAUGCCUUAAUUCAUCAAAUAAAUGUAGAUAUCCACUGUGUCCUUACUUUGUGGUUAUUCAGCUGAGCCACAUGGUCCUGUGAGAGAGAAACAUGACCUGGGAGUAAGAACAGUGGGUUUGAUCUGAAAUCCAGUUCCAAUGUUUAUUAAGCGAAUGGCUCCCUGAGUUCUUCUCCUUAACUGCCCAACAUUGUUGUAAAGAACAAAUGCAGGAUGGUAAAUUAAACCUUUUUAAGUGACAAAGAGCUAUACAGAAGUAGGAAAUUUGUGACAUGUUGCCUUGAUGCUUAAAAAUUAUAUGAUGGAAAAAAUAUAUAUGAUGAGUUUACAGAUUUCUAUUUUCUGAAUAUAAGUUCCACGAAGGCAGGAAUGUCAUGCCUUGUUCACUUUGUACCCCAGAGCCUCAGAGGGUGGCACACUGUCCACACAGAAUUGUUUGUGCGGCUCUGACUUUAUUGAUUACUGACAGUAGAUCGAGAAAAAGACAUGUUUUUAAAAAGAAAUCUAUCAGGUUAAUCAGGUGAUGUUUCAAUUCUAUUUGAUUACUGUCAGGGCACUUCAUGGUUAGAAGACACAAAAAGUUUUUUUUUUUUUUUUAAACUUCUAUUAAGUACCCUUUCUUACUGCGCUACUUGCUUUUAGAAUGUUUUAAGGAGAACAAUUUAACUUUCCAUUAUCUUCCCAAGUCCCAACACUUCACAUUGUCAACCAUUAGAGCUAUUUUCAGUGAAACAUAAAAGUGGUAACAUUUCUAUUACGUUUUAGAAUUUAUGAAGCAUAUUUUUGUAUUCUUUUAUCCUCAAAACUACUUUGUGAGGGAAGUUAUUCCUUUUAUCCAGGAAAUAAAACCAAAGUCAGGGAGUCCUCUCUGUCGUUCUUAGUUUCAUAUCCAAUAGUUUAGCUAGAAAUUAUUUCACAGGUUCCUUAUGUUUGACAAGAAUCAGACAAUCUAAGUGACAGUUUUACAGAAUACCAUACUGUUUAUGAAGAUUUACCACAUUACAUGCACACACACAACUUCAUAAUUACUACAGAUAUCACACACUUAAAAAGAGGAGACUUUAGAGUUUAAGAUCAGAAUAAAGUGUUUCCUUCCAGAAAAUAUGAAAGUAUAUUACCUCAUCCAGGACCAGAGCAAUGAUGAUACACGUUUAUACAUGAAGAUGACACCUUGACGUCUUUUUCUGCGGUGGUGAGAUGAAGCAUGUGCAUUGUUCCAGCAACAUUCUGUCCCCUGGUUCCAUCCGAAAUGCCUGCAGCUAGCAAUAGGCUUGGUGGGGCAGAGAUACAGACUCACCGAAGGCCUAGCCUACAGCCUGGCUUCAGUGAAGACCCCAUCCUCCUAACCAAAGGAUCUGAUUGCCCUUCUCAAACAGUAAUUUAUGAAAAUGUUUACCAAAAGUUUAAAACUGCUUAUUUUCAAAGUUACUAAGUUCUUUCAAGAUGGUAGUUGAGUCCCUAAGUCUUAUUCCUUUUAUAAAUAUAGUAUCACUAUCUUUGAUUAAAAUCAUUUUGGAGAACUUCUGACGAUUAGCCUCAUAAAAGGUUAUAGUUAGUUACUAUAGUGGAGUAACUACAUAUAGUGGAGUCACUACAUGAUAAAAUACAAAGAAUUUGAGGCACCUGCAUGGAUCCCAACCUGAAUUUAGAAUCUACCUGUUCUAAAUGCACUUUUCAAAUCAAGAGUCAGUGUUCUGAGAUGCCUUAUUGGCUUUAACCCCACACAAUUCAUUUGUGACUAUAUCCCAGCACGCUCUUUGUCUUGGCAACUUGUGAUUUCAAAAUCCAACCGAAGAUGACUUGUGAAGGAAGCAUUUCUAUACAUAGUCUGGAAUAUUUGUUCUAAAAAGGCAGAGACUUCUGGUUUCUAGAGAAUCAGGUGAGCCCUCCUGAGGGAAUAAGUUCAUUCUGACCUGAGGUCAUACAGGUAACCAAGAGAAUAUUAUUCCAGUGACCUAUAUCUUAGAAUGUUUAGAUUUAAGAAACUUUAGGUUUUCAAAUUAAGAAUUUUUGAGAGAGCAAGCAAGCGAGCAAACAGGGAGGGGGAGAGAGAAAAUCUCAGGGCUGAAAGCCCAGCGCAGAGCCUGGCAUGGGGCUGGAUCUCAUUACCCAGAGAUCAUGACCUGAGCCAAAAUCAAGAGUUGGUCGCUUAACCAACUGAGCCACCUGGGUGCUCCUAGAAUCUUACAUUUUUGAUUCUUUAGAUGUUACCAUGAACAGGAAAAUCCUACAUAUCUUAAGCUCAAGACUGCCAAAAUCAAAAACAGGCAUGGGGCCAGGGCUAGGAAGAAAGGAUACAGAUAUAUUUUAUUUCCUCGUUUUUGUACUCUUCUGUUUUCUUGUCAGAGGCAGGAGCAGGGACAAAGUUUGCAUGAAAAGAAACUAGAUUGAGGAGAAAAGGGCAGGCUGGGUUUAGAACACUGAGCUAAUGCUUCAUUCCUUCCUCCAGCACUAGCAAGCUCUGCCUGCCAAACUCGGCGGAAGUGCAGACACACUCUUCAGUGCCCACUUCCCCCUUCUUGAUUGAUUGCUAGCCACUUUUGCAAGCUGGCCCAGGAAUUUAAAGUCCUUCAACCCAAGACCUGUUCCUUUAUACUACAACUCCUAAACUUUCCAGUUC
rnacentral:lncRNA from 1 species